rnacentral:ncRNA from 1 species
AUAAAUGCGCUGAAAGAAAGAAAAGUAGGUAACUUUAUAGAGAGUUUAUGGUUGGUGGAAAUAAACAAGGUAACUACUCCGAAUGGUUCUGAAGCAGUCUAGUCGAUAUGUAGGCUAGAACGGUUCACAUCCGUUAUAUGUUUGAGGUAAGCUAUGCUUAUAAAUUAAGGUGGUACCACGUUCAAAACGUCCUUAUU